AUUAGACGAAUCAUCUGGAAAGAUGAAUCAAAGAAGGUAAUAAUCCUGUAGUCGAAAAUGUUGUCUCUCUUGAGUGGAUCCUGAGUACGACGGAGCACGUGAAAUUCCGUCGGAAUCUGGGAGGACCAUCUCCUAAGGCUAAAUACUCUCUAGUGACCGAUAGUGAACCAGUACCGUGAGGGAAAGGUGAAAAGCACCCCGGAAGGGGAGUGAAAUAGAACCUGAAACCGUGUGCUUACAAGUAGUCAGAGCCCGUUAAUGGGUGAUGGCGUGCCUUUUGUAGAAUGAACCGGCGAGUUACGAUUUGAUGCAAGGUUAAGCAGUAAAUGUGGAGCCGUAGCGAAAGCGAGUCUGAAUAGGGCGUUUAGUAUUUGGUCGUAGACCCGAAACCAGGUGAUCUACCCUUGGUCAGGUUGAAGUUCAGGUAACACUGAAUGGAGGACCGAACCGACUUACGUUGAAAAGUGAGCGGAUGAACUGAGGGUAGCGGAGAAAUUCCAAUCGAACCUGGAGAUAGCUGGU
rnacentral:rRNA from 1 species